AUUGAACGCUGGCGGCAUGCCUUACACAUGCAAGUUGAACGGCAGCACGGGGGCAACCCUGGUGGCGAGUGGCGAACGGGUGAGUAAUACAUCGGAAUGUACCCAGUAGUGGGGGGAUAACUAGUCGAAAGAUUAGCUAAUACCGCAUACGCACUAUGGUGGAAAGCGGGGGAUCGCAAGACCUCGCGCUAUUGGAGCAGCCGAUGUCCGAUUAGGUAGUUGGUGGGGUAAAAGCCUACCAAGCCUGCGAUCGGUAACUGGUCUGAGAGGACGACCAGUCACACUGGGACUGAGACACGGCCCAGACUCCUACGGGAGGCAGCAGUGGGGAAUUUUGGACAAUGGGGGAAACCCUGAUCCAGCAAUGCCGCGUGUGUGACGAAGGCC
rnacentral:rRNA from 1 species